rnacentral:rRNA from 1 species
GUAGGGAAUAUUGGGCAAUGGAUGCAAGUCUGACCCAGCCAUCCCGCGUGUCGGAAGAAGGCCCUCAGGGUUGUAAACGGCUUUUGACGGUGAAGAAUCGACAGGAUGCGUCCUGUUUUGACGGAAGCCGUUGAAUAAGCACCGGCUAACUCCGUGCCAGCAGCCGCGGUAAUACGGAGGGUGCGAGCGUUGUCCGGAUUUAUUGGGUUUAAAGGGUGCGUAGGCUGGAAGGUCAGUCAGCGGUGAAAAGCUGUCGCUUAACGAUAGUCUUGCCGCAGAUACUUCCUUUCUUGGAUGAGGAGGAGGCCACUGGAACGGAUGGUGUAGCGGUGAAAUGCAUAGAUAUCAUCCAGAACACCGAUUGCGAAGGCAGGUGGCUGUACCUUAAUCGACGCUGAUGCACGAAAGCAUGGGGAGCAAACAGGAUUAGAAACCCGUGUAGUCC